GCGAGCAUAGGUUAGUGGUAAACCGUAUCCCUUCCAAGGAUGAUUCGCGUGUUCGAGUCACGCUGCUCGCA
rfam:Rhizophagus irregularis DAOM 181602 strain DAOM 197198 GLOINscaffold_4832_Cont4827 mitochondrial, whole genome shotgun sequence.